rnacentral:rRNA from 1 species
AGUAAUGUCUGGGAAACGGCCUGAUGGAGGGGGAUAACUACUGGAAACGGUAGCUAAUACCGCAUAACGUCGCAAGACCAAAGUGGGGGACCUUCGGGCCUCAUGCCAUCAGAUGUGCCCAGAUGGGAUUAGCUAGUAGGUGGGGUAACGGCUCACCUAGGCGACGAUCCCUAGCUGGUCUGAGAGGAUGACCAGCCACACUGGAACUGAGACACGGUCCAG